rnacentral:misc_RNA from 1 species
UGGGUGGCUUUAUGUCCCCGAAAAAGAUAGAACCUAUGUCUACCGUACCUUCGUUUCCUCGGCAGGCUCGCCUGCCAAUGGGGACAUUACCAAAACCUCCUGUAAUAGAAGUGAACGUUUGCAAACAAAUAAUCA